rnacentral:rRNA from 1 species
UUGGUGGCGGACGGGUGAGUAACGCGUGGAAAACCUGCCGUAUACUGGGGGAUAACACUUAGAAAUAGGUGCUAAUACCGCAUAAGCGCACAGCUUCGCAUGAAGCGGUGUGAAAAACUCUGGUGGUAUACGAUGGUUCCGCGUCUGAUUAGCUAGUUGGUGGGGUAAUGGCCUACCAAGGCAACGAUCAGUAGCCGGCCUGAGAGGGUGAACGGCCACAUUGGGACUGAGACACGGCCCAAACUCCUACGGGAGGCAGCAG